rnacentral:rRNA from 1 species
UACGUAGGGUGCAAGCGUUAAUCGGAAUUACUGGGCGUAAAGCGUGCGCAGGCGGUUAUGUGAGACAGAUGUGAAAUCCCCGGGCUCAACCUGGGAACUGCAUUUGUGACUGCAUCGCUGGAGUGCGGCAGAGGGGGAUGGAAUUCCGCGUGUAGCAGUGAAAUGCGUAGAUAUGCGGAGGAACACCGAUGGCGAAGGCAAUCCCCUGGGCCUGCACUGACGCUCAGGCACGAAAGCGUGGGGAGCAAACAGG